rnacentral:rRNA from 1 species
GGACCCGCACAAGCAGUGGAGCAUGUGGUUUAAUUCGAAGAUACGCGCAGAACCUUACCAACACUUGACAUGUUCGUCGCGAGACCAAGAGAUUGGUUUCUUCAUUUAGUUGGACGAAACACAGGUGCUGCAUGGCUGUCGUCAGCUCGUGUCGUGAGAUGUUGGGUUAAGUCCCGCAACGAGCGCAACCCCCUACUUUUAGUUGCCACCAUUUAGUUGGGCACUUUAAAAGAACUGCCAGUGAUAAGCUGGAGGAAGGUGGGGAUGACGUCAAGUCCUCAUGGCCCUUACGUGUUGGGCUACACACGUGCUACAAUGGCACUUACAAUGGGAAGCAAAGAGGUGACUCCUAGCUAAUCCCAAAAAUGUGUCUCAGUUCGGAUUGCACUCUGCAACUCGAGUGCAUGAAGCUGGAAUUGCUAG